rnacentral:rRNA from 1 species
UACGGAGGGUGCGAGCGUUAUCCGGAAUUACUGGGUUUAAAGGGUGCGUAGGCGGCUAAGUAAGUCAGGAGUGAAAGUUUGCGGCUCAACCGUAAAACUGCUUUUGAUACUGCAUAGCUAGAAUUAGGAUGAGGUCAGCGGAAUGUGGCAUGUAGCGGUGAAAUGCAUAGAUAUGCCAUAGAACACCAAUUGCGAAGGCAGCUGGCUAGACCUGGAUUGACGCUGAGGCACGAAAGCGUGGGGAGCGAACAGG